UUUAUCACAGCACUUGACGUCACACAUCACCACUACACAGAGAUCACUUUUUUUCGAAUUUGAAUUGGUUUAGUUAACUCGCUUUGCCAAAACACAACAAAUAUGGAUACAGACAAAGGUGGAACACAGACAAGAAAAAGAGAAAUCAGUCAUUGGGAAAUAUUGCAGGAAUAGGCCUAACCAUGGAGCGCUAGCCGGCUGGCCUUCCUUCAUAUUGACCACGUGCGUGGGUGCGUUGGCACACGUGCACGUUGAGUGACAUUAUAGUUAUACAAUGGAGGUAGGAAAAGUGAGCGCAUGGGGGUCGCUUUAAUCCGUUUAUUUUCGCGACUUUGUGUAUCAUCAAGACAACACGUAAGAUAUUAGUCUCUAAGGAAUCGCUGGCACACCUACGUGAUAACUGAUAUGGAUUUUUCAGCAACGAGGUCUGGCAAUGAUGCAUUAGGAAAGUCAAGGCUAGUGGACUAUACCUCCGUGUACGUGGCCCUACUCCUAAACUAGAAGCAAGUGGAGGAUGGCUUAACAUUGGGAUAAAGUUCCCCGGCCGUGAACGGUAUCAGCCACAUACAGAUCUUCACCGGCAGUGAACAUGUACAGCUCCAGACACCAGCAGUUGCGAUGAUCUCAUCUAAGAACGUUAAUUUACUGCACACCACAUUAGCUUGCUAUUUUUCCAGGUCUGUCUCUUAAUCAAAUGCACCCUAUAUACCUGCAUUGCAUUGGCACACUUUGAUGCUGGACCCCACACAUGCAUACACACCUGGCAUCUGGCAAUCAGAUCAAGCCCCUUAUUGUCAUAAUAUCUGCUCUUGGAACAUUGAUGAAGGUCCAAGCAAGACGGCCAGAUUGUGGAAUCAAAGAGGGCCAGCAGUCUACAACCUUUAGAAAAGGAGUUUUAGAUAAUGGGCACUUGUUGGCAAGAGCAGAGAUGGUAGAGAGUGGAAGAAACAUGUGCAGUCCAUCCAGGAGAAGUCUGUCUUCUGCAGUGACUGGAAGUUGUCCUUUCAAGUAUUGAAGAUGUUGAGGCCAUACAUUGGUGUCACAGACACAUGCACAAAGAUCUCCGUUGUGUUUGCUGCAUCAGAGGCACCGCCGUAAAAUGCUGACCAACCAUAGAGGGCGCUAUUACCAUUUCAUGAAGCUUACUGCAAUCACACAAAGAGGAGAAACAGAACUGAAUGCUGCCUUAAUUGCACAACGGUAAUGGAAAGAGGACAAAAAGGACUGAAUGCUGCCUGAAUUCCCUUAUUUACAUCACAGCAGUAGCCCCCCACUCAUCCAGACAAGCUUGCGUUUAUAGCAAGAUAAAGAAAAUUGUGAAAUAUAUUCUCUAAAUUGAAAAAUCCAGAGGACCUGAGAA
rnacentral:lncRNA from 1 species